AAAAAAAAUAAAAAAAAAAACCAACAAAACUUCAUUUAAAUAAAGGAACUUUGUUUAUACUCCAAGGAAUCAAGAUCUAUCAAUAGCUUGUUCUAAUAUUAGAUAGUAUGCAGUACGAAGGAAAUAAAUAAUUAAAUACUGCAAAAACAAGAAGCUAGCCAAACGGAAUUCGAACACCAUUGGAAACUCUGGUUAUAACUGAAUAAACACUAACAGAACAAAGAGUCAGAAGAAGGCUAGCUAAAUUAUCCUGAAACUUUCUUUAUUUGUUUUAUCCCACGGAAAGAAGCUCCUCUGAUGUAUAUUCUAUUUCUACCGUCGUCGCAGAAUGCUCAAAGAAUACGUCUAGAGACACGGGGGAGGUUUCUCUCUGCCUUUUUUUCCUACUUUUCUUUCUCUCUCAUGGUUAAAAUAACUAGAAAAAACGAACUUUUAUUAAAAAGAAGCCAAGUGGGCAAGCAGUACUGAACCAGCUCUGUUCUUUAUCUAAUGGGUAUCGCUGUGAUCCAAAAUUAGAGCAAUCAAAAUUCUCCUAAAUAAAAAGAAAAUGAAUGAAUGCCAUGAAUCAUUGUUGGAUAUGAACUGAAAUAAUUUGAAUGUUGUCAAGAGCUGUAUGUUUGCUGACUCAUGCAACAUGUCUAACUUGUCCAUUGAUUUUGUUCUGAUACUUUUGUAAGAUUUAUUCAAUAAUCAUAGUCUAAUCUGAAACCUUAGUACUAUGGUUUCAAGGUUUCUUUUGAUUGCAAUCCAACUUCUGAUGAAAAUUAGUUAUAGGCUCACAUUGACUUAAAAUUAUUCUUUUGCAUAGG
rnacentral:misc_RNA from 1 species